rnacentral:rRNA from 1 species
CAACUUUUGACAAUGGAUCUCUGGGUUCUCG